CCUACGGGAGGCAGCAGUGAGGAAUAUUGGUCAAUGGGCUUACGCCUGAACCAGCCAAGUCGCGUGAGGGAAGACUGCCCUAUGGGUUGUAAACCUCUUUUGUCAGGGAGCAACGCCGGCUACGUGUACCCGGACUGAGAGUAUCUGAAGAAAAAGCAUCGGCUACCUCCGUGCAAGCAGCCGCGGUAAUACGGAGGAUGCGAGCGUUAUCCGGAUUUAUUGGGUUUAAAGGGUGCGUAGGCGGAAUGCCAAGUCAGCGGUAAAAUCGCGGGGCUCAACCUCGCUCCGCCGUUGAAACUGGCGUUCUUGAGUGGGCGAGAAGUAUGCGGAAUGCGUGGUGUAGCGGUGAAAUGCAUAAAUAUCACGCAGAACUCCGAUUGCGAAGGCAGCAUACCGGCGCCCAACUGACGCUGAAGCACGAAAGCGUGGGUAUCGAACAGGAUUAGAUACCCCUGUAGUC
rnacentral:rRNA from 1 species